UUUUUAUGCCUUUUGCCAACAUUAGGGCUCCAAUCUCUAAGUUGAGCUUUUAGACAUAGGGCCUCCAUUCCCUAGUCGCCUUUUGCCAACAUUAGGGCUCCAAUCCCUGAGUUGAGCUUUUUAGACAUAUGACCUCCAUUCCCUAGUCGCCUUUUGCCAAUAUUAGGGAUCCAAUCCCUGAGUUGAGUCUUUUUUAGACAUUGGGCCUCCAUUCCCUAGUCGCCUUUUUACCAACAUUAGGGCUCUAAUCCUUGAGUUGAGAUUUAGACAUAGGGACUCCAUUCCCUAGUCGCCUUUUUGCCAACAUUAGGGCUCCAACAUAGGGCCUCCAUUCCCUAGUCGCUUUUGCCAACAUUAGGGCUCCAAUCCCUAAGUUGAGAUUUUUAGACAUAGGGCCUCCAUUCCCUAGUUGCCUUUUUACAAACAUUAGGGUCCUAUCCCUGAGUUGAUAUUUAGAUAUAGGGUCUCCAUUCCCUAGUCGUUUUUUUCCAAAAUUAGGACUCCAAUCCCUAAGUUGAGAUUUUUUAGACAUAGGGCCUCCAUUCCCUAGUCAUUUUUGCCAAUAUUAGGGCUCCAAUCCCUGAGUUGAUGCUUUUUAGACAUAGGACCUCCAUUCCCUAGUCGCCUUUUGCCAACAUUAGGGAUCCAAUCCCUAAGUUGAUAUUUUUUAGCAUAGGGCCUCCAUUCCCUAGUCGCCUUUUGCCAACAUUAGGGCUCCAAUCCCUGAGUUGAUGCUUUUUAGACAUAGGGCCUCCAUUCCCUAGUCGCCUUGCCAACAUUAGGCUCCAAUCCCUGAGUUGAGUUUUUUUAGACGUAGGGCCUCCAUUCCCUAGUCGCCUUUUUACCAACAUUAGGGCUUCAAUCCCUAAGUUGAUAUUUUUAAACAUAGGGCCUCCAUUCCCUAGUCACCCUUUUAAUCCCUAAUUAUCUUUGCCCGAAAAUCCUUCAUGUCUCCGAGCAAAGAGGGGAAGCUGUGAGCACGUGAUUUUUGCCUCACAUGAAUUAUUCCUACAGAAUUCCCAGAAUUAGGAUUUUUUCUUUAAUUAUUUGAUGAUUUUGUGUUUGUUUGCAUUUUUGUGUGCAUGUUUAAUUUAUUUAAUGCAUACAAGUACAAAAAAAAUAUGUUGCAUUUGCAUUUAGGGUCCUAUUUUAUAUUUUAGGCUAAUUAGUUAACUAAUGUUAUAAAAAAUGAAAGAAAUGACAAAAAUAAUUCAUUUUGCAUUUUUACUCUUUAAUUUUCGAAUUGUUAUAGUUUUCUCCUAAAUUAGGACUUAAUUAAUUUUUAUAAAUACUAUGAAGAAUAAUUAGCUUA
rnacentral:lncRNA from 1 species